rnacentral:rRNA from 1 species
CCGCAAUGGACGAAAGUCUGACGGAGCAACGCCGCGUGAGUGAUGACGGCCUUCGGGUUGUAAAGCUCUGUUAAUCGGGACGAAAGGCCUUCUUGCGAAUAGUGAGAAGGAUUGACGGUACCGGAAUAGAAAGCCACGGCUAACUACGUGCCAGCAGCCGCGGUAAUACGUAGGUGGCAAGCGUUGUCCGGAAUUAUUGGGCGUAAAGCGCGCGCAGGCGGAUAGGUCAGUCUGUCUUAAAAGUUCGGGGCUUAACCCCGUGAUGGGAUGGAAACUGCCAAUCUAGAGUAUCGGAGAGGAAAGUGGAAUUCCUAGUGUAGCGGUGAAAUGCGUAGAUAUUAGGAAGAACACCAGUGGCGAAGGCGACUUUCUGGACGAAAACUGACGCUGAGGCGCGAAAGCCAGGGGAGCGAACGGGAUUAGAUACCCCGGUAGUCCUGGCCGUAAACGAUGGGUACUAGGUGUAGGAGGUAUCGACCCCUUCUGUGCCGGAGUUAACGCAAUAAGUACCCCGCCUGGGGAGUACGACCGCAAGGUUGAAACUCAAAGGAAUUGACGGGGGCCCGCACAAGCGGUGGAGUAUGUGGUUUAAUUCGACGCAACGCGAAGAACCU